rnacentral:rRNA from 1 species
UUGAUCCUGGCUCACAACGAACGCUGGCGGCGUGCUUAACACAUGCAAGUCGAGUGCGCGGUUGUAGCAAUACAACUGGCGCACGGCGCACGGGUGCGUAACACGUGGGCAAUCUGCCCUCCGAUGGGGAAUAACUCCGGGAAACCGAAGCUAAUUCCGCAUAACAUUCCCUGGACUCCGGUUCGGGGAUUCAAAGCAUCAAUGCGUCGGAGGAGGAGCCCGCGCCCGAUUACCUAGUUGGCGAGGUAACGGCUCACCAAGGCUAUGAUCGGUAGCUGGUCUGAGAGGAUGGCCAGCCACACUGGAACUGAGACACGGUCCAGACUCCUACGGGAGGCAGCAGUGGGGAAUCUUGCGCAAUGGGCGAAAGCCUGACGCAGCGACGCCGCGUGGGGGAUGAAGCUUCACGGAGUGUAAACCCCUUUCAACCGGGACGAAUGCCCGCAAGGGAGUGACGGUACCGGUAAAA